rnacentral:rRNA from 1 species
AUUGAACGCUGGCGGCAGGCCUAACACAUGCAAGUCGAGCGAGCGGCGGACGGGCGAGUAAUGGAUGGGGACUGCCCGAUAGAGGGGGCUAACUACUGGAAACCGUGGCUAAUACCGCAUACUAUCGGAUAACCCAUAUGGGAUUAGGUAGUGGGUGGGGUAAAGGCUCACCUAGGCGACGAUGCCUAGCUGGUCUGAGAGGAUGAUCAGCCACACUGGGACUGAGACACGGCCCAGACUCCUACGGAGGCAGCAGUGGGGAAUAUUGCACAAUGGGCGAAAGCCUGAUCCAGCCAUGCCGCGUGUAUGAAGAAGGCCUUAGGGUUGUAAAGUACUUUCAGCGGGGAGGCGUUACCCGCAGAAGAAGCCCCGGCUAACUCCGUGCCAGCAUCCGCGGUAAUAC